rnacentral:rRNA from 1 species
AUUGAACGCUGGCGGCAGGCCUAACACAUGCAAGUCGAACGAGUGGCGGACGGGUGAGUAAUGUCUGGGAAUCUGCCCUUAGGUUCGGAAUAACAGCUGGAAACGGCUGCUAAUACCGGAUGCCUGAGGAUGAGCCCGCGUUGGAUUAGGUAGUUGGUGGGGUAAAGGCCUACCAAGCCGACGAUCCAUAGCUGGUCUGAUAGGAUGAUCAGCCACACUGGGACUGAGACAUGGCCCAGACUCCUACGGGAGGCAGCAGUGGGGAAUAUUGGACAAUGGGCGAAAGCCUGAUCCAGCAAUGCCGCGUGAGUGAUGAAGGCCCUAGGUUUGUAAAGCUCUUUUACCCGGGAAGCUGUACCGGGAGAAUAAGCCCCGGCUAACUCCGUGCCAGCAGCCGCGGUAAUAC